UUCUCCGUGGCGCAAUUGGCUAGCGCGUUCGACUGUUAAGAAGCAAUCGAGAGGUUGACAGUUCAAGCCUGUCCGGGGAAG